AUUGAACGCUGGCGGCAGGCCUAACACAUGCAAGUCGAGCGAGCGGCGCACGGGUGAGUAAUGUCUGUGAAACUGCCUGAUGGAGGGGGAUAACUCUUGGAAACGGUAUCUAAUACCGCAUACCACCUGAUGUGCCCACGUGGGAUUAGCUAGUAGGUGGGGUAACGGCUCACCUAGGCGACGAUCCCUAGCUGGUCUGAGAGGAUGACCAGCCACACGGGAACUGAGACACGGUCCAGACUCCUACGGGAGGCAGCAGUGGGGAAUAUUGCACAAUGGGCGCAAGCCUGAUGCAGCCAUGCCGCGUGUGUGAAGAAGGCCUUCGGGUUGUAAAGCACUUUCAGCGGGGAGGCGUUAACCGCAGAAGAAGCACCGGCUAACUCCGUGCCAGCAGCCGCGGUAAUAC
rnacentral:rRNA from 1 species